rnacentral:rRNA from 1 species
GACGAACGCUGGCGGCGUGCUUAACACAUGCAAGUCGAACGGACAGGCCCUGCUUUUGUGGGGUGCUCGAGUGGCGCAGGGGUGAGUAAAACGUGAGUAACAUGCACUUGACUUUGGGAUAAAUUCAGGAAACUGGGGAUCAUACCGGAUAGGAGCUAUUGCUGCAUGGUGGGGGUUGGAAAGUUUCGGCGGUUGGGGAUGGAAUCGCGGCUUAGCAGCUUGUUGGUGGGGUAGUGGAUUACGAAGUGUUUGAAGGGUAGCCGGCCUGAGAGGGUGAACGGCCACCUUGGUACUGAGAGAGGGCCCAGACUCCUACGGUAGGCAGCGGGGGGAAGUAUUGCACAAUGGGCGGAAGUCUGAUGCAGCAACGCCGCGUUCGUGAUGACGUCCUACGGGGGAUAAACCGCUUUCGCCUUUAACGAAGCGGUAUUGACGGUAAUGGAUAAGGAAGCACCGGCUAACUACGUG